rnacentral:rRNA from 1 species
GGAAUCUUGCACAAUGGGCGAAAGCCUGAUGCAGCGACGCCGCGUGCGGGAUGAAGGCCUUCGGGUUGUAAACCGCUUUCAGUGGGGACGAGGCCGCGAGGUGACGGUACCCACAGAAGAAGCCCCGGCUAACUACGUGCCAGCAGCCGCGGUAAUACGUAGGGGGCAAGCGUUAUCCGGAUUCAUUGGGCGUAAAGCGCUCGUAGGCGGUCCGUUAGGUCGGGAGUUAAAUCCGGGGGCUCAACCCCCGCCCGCUCCCGAUACCGGCGGACUUGAGUUUGGUAGGGGAAAGUGGAAUUCCCAGUGUAGCGGUGGAAUGCGCAGAUAUUGGGAAGAACACCAGUGGCGAAGGCGGCUUUCUGGGCCACAACUGACGCUGAGGAGCGAAAGCUAGGGGAGCGAACA